UACAGAGGGGGCAAGCGUUGUUCGGAAUUACUGGGCGUAAAGGGCGCGUAGGCGGCCUGUUAAGUCGAACGUGAAAUCCCCGGGCUCAACCCGGGAACUGCGUCCGAUACUGGCAGGCUUGAAUUCGGGAGAGGGAUGUGGAAUUCCAGGUGUAGCGGUGAAAUGCGUAGAUAUCAGGAGGAACACCGGUGGCGAAGGCGGGUCUCUGGGCCGAAAUUGACGCUGAGGAGCGAAAGCGUGGGGAGCAAACAGG
rnacentral:rRNA from 1 species